rnacentral:tRNA from 1 species
GGGGGGUUAGCCAAGUGGCCUACGGCAUCGCGCUUUGACCGCGACAUUCGGACGUUCGAAUCGUCCACCCUCUGCCA